rnacentral:rRNA from 1 species
UACGUAGGGCGCAAGCGUUAUCCGGAAUUAUUGGGCGUAAAGAGCUCGUAGGCGGUUUGUCGCGUCUGCCGUGAAAGUCCGGGGCUCAACUCCGGAUCUGCGGUGGGUACGGGCAGACUAGAGUGAUGUAGGGGAGACUGGAAUUCCUGGUGUAGCGGUGAAAUGCGCAGAUAUCAGGAGGAACACCGAUGGCGAAGGCAGGUCUCUGGGCAUUAACUGACGCUGAGGAGCGCAAGCAUGGGGAGCGAACAGG